AGGAGGUGACACCUCCCGUCCGCCGUGGCAGAGUGAGUCUAUUUGUACAACGAGUCGUAGUUUGGUUUGGGUAUUGCAGCUACUUAAUUUUGGUAGGUUAAACUUCCAUACGUAAAGACUAAAUUAGUUGGGUGGGACGACCGAUAGCGUACAACGUACCGUGGAAGGGAAAAUGCAAAGAACUUUGAAAAGAGAGUUAAAGAGUACCUGAAACUGCUGAAACGGAAGCGAAGGAAACCAGUGUUUGUUUGUUCAUAUUUCCCUAGCCACUUGUGGCUUGGGCGCUGUGGGCUUGCGUGAGUUUGGGUUGGUUGAUUCCUUUGGAAGAGCGCAGUCAGAGUUGAUGUCU
rnacentral:rRNA from 1 species